rnacentral:rRNA from 1 species
AGUUGAUCCUGGCUUAGGAUGAACGCUAGCGGCAGGCCUAAUACAUGCAAGUCGUACGGGAUCCCCUCUUCGGGAGGGGUGAGAGUGGCGGACGGGUGCGUUACGCGUAUGCAACCAACCCCCGACGGGCGUACAGCCGGUGGAAACGCCGGGUGAUGCGCCAUGCGGCCGGGAGAGGGCAUCCUCUUUCGGCGAAAGCCCUUGGGCGGUCGGGGACGGGCAUGCGUGCCAUUAGCUAGUUGGCGGGGCGACGGCCCACCAAGGCUACGAUGGCUAGGGGAUCUGAGAGGACGGUCCCCCACACUGGUACUGAGACACGGACCAGACUCCUGCGGGAGGCAGCAGUAAGGGAUAUUGGGCAAUGGGGGGAACCCUGACCCAGCCAUGCCCGCGUGAGGGAAUGAGGCCCUACGGGUCGUGAACCUCUUUUAUCCGGGGACAAUACCCCGCACGAGAUGCGGGGUUGAGGGUACCGGAAGAAUAAGCAUCGGCUAACUCCGUGCCAGCCGCUGC